GGAGGGAGGCCGGGAUACCUCCCGGAGGAUCUUUGGGUCCUCCGAAUUCCUGGCGUUGUGGCCGCUUUCGAUGGAGCGUUUGGAUUGACGUUUGGUCAGUGCCGCAGAGACUGGAAAUCAGAAAUAAGAAGAAAGUAAAAUGCUGGAAAUACUCAGCAGGUUGGGUGUCAAAAGUACUGGACCGUCUGCCGACAGUCCCCAUGCACACAAAAACGAUUAUGUUAUAUGGGGCCGGGGAGCAGGGCAGGCCAGCCAGUACUGCAGAGGCAGACAGUGAGAGCAAGAGAGUGGACAAUUGGCGAGGUGCGCACACAUAACACACGCGGACUCAGAGCUUUCAGCAGCUGAGCUGCAGCCUGGGACAGAACCAAGUCCUGUAAGAGAAAUGCUGCGGCUGUGUGCUAGGAAAGUGUUGUUCUCCCUGCUGGUGGAGUACGAUGUUAAUCUGCCUGCUGGUGCUGGAUUGGAGCUGCUGUCUGAAGAGAGGACUUUGACACCAGAGGGAAAAUCGCUCCAUGGAAACUGGGCUUGAGUGCAACAUGUGAAUACACAGGCCAGCCACUGUAGCACUGAGGAAUUGAUCGGAAGUGCCAGAUCUUCUCAUGUACUAAAGUUGAUGUCUCUCAUCCCCCUGUCAGUCUCUGAAAGAUCUGCACCAGCUGGAACCAAGCCAGAGAACGCAGCUAUUUAUACACAGCACUGACCUUUCAUGCAAUCUGCUCAUGUAAAUAGACAAACAGAAUCCAUUAAGCAAGUUGGGUCUGUUAGAAUCUUUUUUGUUGCUGUGGUUGUGAAUUUUAUAUUUUCUCCCCUCUCUUCUUUUUAAAUCUCCCUGCUCAUUCCACAGCUAAAUGGUAAGUCCAGCUCUCAGGCCUCCCUGUUAAUGCUAAUCUGUAGUUUGCUGUCAUCGCAAAUAUAAGGGGUGCAUGCAUGGUGGGUAGUGGAAGAGAGGCAUGUUGCCUUAUAAUUCCUCGUUCUAUUCUUGCGUAAACAUCUGGCUUCACCUCUCUCCCAUUAUGGGUACCUUCUCCUGUUGGAACACUGAGGUGAAGAACACCUUCCCCUCCUUAAGGUGACAGAUCCUUGACGAGGCAAAUGAAGGUUGAGAUGAAGUCAGGGAUGGGAGUUGCCAUUUCUCAAGCCGGAUUGUGACCUAAAGAAAUUGAUGAGAUGUAUUGGCUUCUACUUGGGCACAGCUGGACCCCACAGGCUGAUGUCCAAACUAGUCAAGCAGUCUGGAGCUUUGAAAAAAGAUACGUAGAGAGUGGCUACUGAACAGAGUCACAGGAGUCAGUUGAUGAA